GUGCUCUGUCUGUGCGGGGGCGGUUCCAGGUGGGGGGGGGUGCUCAGCUCGGGGGAGGGCCUGCGUGGUGUGUUCAGGGAGCAGGCAGGAUGCUCUGUCUGGAGGGAGUGGGGGGCUGUUCCAGGUGGGGAACCCAGCUGCUGUUGGGGGGGGGGCAGUUCCAGCUGGCAGAGGGGCAGGCUGCUCUGGUUAGGGGGGCUAUUCCAGGUGCAUGUGUGGGGGUGUUCUGUUCUGGGGGAGCUGUUUCAGGUGGGGGUGGGGUGCUCAGGUCAGGGGGGACAGGGUGCUGUGUCCAGGGGGGCUGCUCAGCUCGGGGGAGGGCCUGCCUGCUGUGUUCAGGGAGCAGGCAGGAUGCUCUGUCUGGAGGGAGUAGGGGGCAGUUCCAGGUUAUGGAAG